AGCGGGAUACAGUCGAGAAGAUCAGAACUGGAGUCUUUCGAUACGAUCAUCAACGACCUCUGCAUCCGCUUUACAAGUAAGUAUUCCUAACACCUACGUGCAGCUGUUAAAUUCAUAGGAGCAUGUUUAAGAUUAAUCGUUGUAUGAUAAAUUAAUAAUAAUCCAAGAAACGAUCAUCGGGCAAACGGAACGUUAAUUCAAUUUAAUAUUCCUUCAA
rnacentral:lncRNA from 1 species